AUACGGAGGAUGCAAGCGUUAUCCGGAUUUAUUGGGUUUAAAGGGUGCGUAGGCGGACGAUUAAGUCAGCUGUGAAAUGCCCGCGCUUAACGCGGGAAGUGCAGUUGAUACUGGUUGUCUGGAGUGCCGUUGCCGUGGGGGGAAUGUGUAGUGUAGCGGUGAAAUGCAUAGAUAUUACACAGAACGCCGAUUGUGAAGACACCUCACGAAGCGGUAACUGACGCUGAGGCACGAAAGUGCGGGGAUCGAACAGGAUUAGAUACCCUGGUAGUCCACACAGUAAACGAUGAAUACUUGUUUUCGGCGAUAUAAUGUCGGAGGCAAAGCGAAAGCGAUAAGUAUUCCACCUGGGGAGUACGCCGGCAACGGUGAAACUCAAAUGAAUUGACGGGG
rnacentral:rRNA from 1 species